GUAUCCCAUAAGCAAAAUGGUUUAGUCGCUUUGUUUAUCUUAUUUUUUUUGCAUCUUUGUAUUUAUUUACUUUAAAUUUGCUCCGCAUUUCCUCUUAAUUCAACUUUGUGUAACAACUUGAUUUUGUAGUUUUAAGAGAGGCAUGGAUUUUCAUAACAUUCCCAACUUCCAAUGCUUCAUGUCCCUUUCAAUUUUCUUUUCACCAAUGAUUGACCCACUUUAGAGAGAGAGAUGUUGUUAUAGGAAGCAGAAAAUGAGAAUGAUUAGCUCUUCAUAUGAUUCUGUAUUUUUGGCCACCCCCCAAUUGAUCCCGACAAACGUAAGGAUCCAUAAACCUCAGGUACAUUUCAAAGGAUCCAUAAACCUCAGUAGCUGAAAUGGAGGUUGAGAAGUUGCAGGCCGUGGGAUCACUUGAGGGAAGGAUGCUAUCUCCUACAAAAGUCUGACUCAAGCUUAUGGGAAUUCAGAAGAGCAGAAAGGAGGAAGAAGAAUCUUAGAAACUCAAGAUCUUGAUGACCAAGUCUUGCACGCCCAUAUACAAAAUGGAUACAUAUAUUUACAAAUGUCAAAGCAUGGUGUUGCUCCAUUCAGAGUAAGAUGGAAAGGAGGGGUGUAAGCGUGAAGUAGUGGAGGGAGAGAAGCCUUGUCCAAUGACGCGUCUGUCAACUGAACAUUCCAACUACGAGUGAUGUGGGAUCAACAUUGAAUUGCUUCUACGAGAUCGACCACAUUAGGCUGCCUCGUAAUUCCCCCAUUCACCUCAAGACCAUUUGUGUUGUGUGGAUGUCAUUCCCAUUUAGAAUAAGGCGGAUUUGGAAACAUAAGGGUGGUAUCCAAAUCAGAUGUCAUUCUACAUAGAGGAUGAUGUAGACUGACUUUCUUGUUAAUAGCAGGUAUGUAGCUUUAAUCUCAACUUAGUUCAUUCCUGCACUAUGGGUUGUUAGGGACAUGGAAAUUAGCGUAGAUGGAGGGGGACUAUCUUUGACAUGGGAAUGAGCAUAGAUGGAGGGGGACUAUCUUUGAUUUUUUAGUUUCGAUAGGGUAAAAGAUUUUAUAAAGGUUUUACUUUCGAAGAAAUUUAUCUUUUGGAUGAGAAAUCCGUGCUUUUUUUUUUUGCAUUAAAAAAAUGCAAAAGGUUAAGAACAUUAUUAUUUCUGAGCUUGUAUAAUCUUGGCUAUUGUACCCUGGCAAUUUUUCCUAAAUUUGAAUAAAAAAUAUUGAUAACUAUGUAUUCUAUAUUCAUUGGGCAACAAUGACCAUUUCACAAGUUUUUGUUUUGACAUUUGUUGCAUAUACAUCUUACGAAUAAUAUCAUUUAUUCAUACCAUCUUUGAAUAGUCAAAACUUCUCAAAUCACAAAACUUCCAAAAAAAUCAUCAACUUGAUUUCCAAGCCAUAGAGGCUUACACUAUAUUUAGAAAAUACAAUACAAGCUCUCAUAAGGCCUUUUAUGGCCACAGAAACCCAACAUCUCCCUUUUGGCCUUUGAAGAACAUACAAACUCUUUUCCUAACAUUUUCAUCCCCCAAUUACAAUCUCUCUCUCAAGAAUUUAUCGUUUAUUCUCUCUCAUUACAUUAACCCUAGUGAACUCUUUCGCCAUCAAUCAUUUCACAAAGGAUUUAUGAAUGUAGCUUCUGAGGGAGUCAUGAAGCAUCUUUCUCUUUGUUGCUCGGAUCGCAUCCCGAAAGUGGUCGUAUUCCAUCUUUUCAUGUCGCAUCGUGAAUCAAAGACUUAUUGUCACUGAAGAUCAUCAUGUACCCUCAUCGCAUGGGGUUGUAUCUUAGCAGCUCAAGGGAGUUCUUCAAUCAUGCUGCUCCUUUUUGUAACCCUACAACCCGCACCACAUAUCUGGGUUCCAUGGGUGAACAACAUUAUAGUGUGUUGUUCUAGCUGGCCCGCCAAACACAAGCAGGUACUCCCACUAGAAUGUUAAGCUAUCUGGAUCUUUCAUAAUAGGAUACAUAUAUAUUUAAAUAUCCAAGCAGCUAAAAGUAAUCUUGGGAUUAUUAAUAGCUCCCACUCAAACAGAACACAAAAAAAUAUAUAUUAUCUCAGCAUUCUCAUGUAUGUGUCAUGGGAUAAUAUAGCAAGCAUUAUACCAAAUAGUAACUCAAUGCCCGUUUGGUUUCACAAAGGUUCAACCACACCAGGCUGUUGGUUGUAAAUCCAUAAAAACCAAGUUUUCUUAACACAAUAUGUAUCAAAGAAGCCUAGCAAGAUGGCAAUCCUAUGAUAUACCCUAUGGUUCAUGGUCUUAGGUAAUCAAAUAUUCUAAAGAACUAAAAAACAUGUCACAUAAUCAGUACUAUGAAACAUGAGUCAAGACAUGGGUAUUUAAAAACAAUGCAUAGAUAAAUGACACUUUCUCAUAUGUACAUAAAAUACUUUCAAAGCCCGAUGUUUUUCCUUAUAUAAAAAACUCGACUUGGUAUAUUUUCACACGCAAGAGUUAGAAAAUAGUAUGGUGGUUUAAAAUGAUUUUUCAUAAAUACUUAGUGGACGUAGCAAGAGUAUGGGUUUUCUCAAAACUAUAUCCAUAGAUCUAGGUUUUUCAACAUAAAAAGUCCAAUCCGAUUUCAAAAGAACAUACUUAGCCUUUAAAAAAACAUUUUACCACGUACACUUGUAAUUACUUACCAAGUCAUGUUAUAGCCACAAAACAAAUCAUAAAGUCCAUCUAUGAUUUUUAUCUAUAACGAAACACAACUGAAAAUGUGUUCAUCAAAAAAGUAACAAAUAUGCAAAAUACACUUAUUUUUCUUGCCAAAUAUUUGGAGUCUUUAACAUGAGAUUCUCAUCAAAUACAAAACGCAACUAUCACUGGACAUUAUCGAGAGGACGGUUACCAAGACCGGGUUCCAUCGGAACACUUCCUUCAUGCUAUAUAUUUAAAUGGGCCAUACCCAUCUCUCAUGUUUGAUACUUAGGUCCAUAGACCUUGAUCAAACCAUAUCUCCAUGUGUUUUACUACUUUAAGUAGUUCACACAAUCACAAGGAAAUACAAAAGCACAUAGUAUUCAAAAGUGGCACUUUCAAAUUUGUUAGUAACUUAGCACCUAUCAACUAAUGUCCAUACACUCUAUACAUUUGCACAAAACAAGCCAACAUAUAAUCAAAGAUUCUUUAAGGAUAACAAAUAAAUUAAUGAAUCUUCUUUCCUUAUAUGACCUUACCACGCAAUGUGGGAUAGGUUUCAUUCCCUAUAACCAUUUAGUGCGGUAUCUGGGCUUUUUUAAUCGUUGCUUUUUGUUUGCUGACGAACUUUUGUGAUCUUGGAAGAGCACACAACUGAUAGAGAAUCUCUUGGUCAUCGGUUUUACUUGUCAACGAAGCGUCCAUCUCUUCGGCCCAUGGAUUCUCCCUUUCUCAUACCAAGAAGAAGUACUCUUCUUCAUCCCAUAAUUCCAUAAAUCACAAUUUUGAUCCUCCCACUAAUCUUUAGAGUUCCUAUUCUGCCCCCCAAGUCCCCUUUACAUACCCCUUCAAUACAAAGAGAAACCAAGAUACGUUUUACAUGUAUUCUGUUACUUCUAUUUUAUGUAGUUCCCAGAUUUAGCACCCUUCACAAAGAGUGUCAUAUCUCCCCAACAUUGUAUUACCUUGAGUGUUAGUUCCCAGAUUGAGCACCCUUCCCAUUCUAUUUUAUGGAGGCUUACACAAUUUUCAGAAAGUGUUAGUUGCCUUGAGUGGGGCGUGCCACACUAAGUUUCCUCAUGCAGGCCCCACUCUAUUUUACCAUGUGAUUAAUUUAAGGUGGGCCCAUGUUUUAUGAUGGGCCCCCAUAUGAUUAGUGAUUUAUAAAAUUCAUAUAUUGAUUCUUAGAAGCUUGGAAAUAAACUUUAUUUUCUCUUGAAUAUUUCAAUACUGAAAAAUGAAUAUCUUUA